AGUGUGAAUUGCAGAAUUCCGCGAAUCAUCGAGUCUUUGAACGCAAGUUGCGCCCGAGGCUCGUCCGAGGGCAUUUCCGCCAGAGCGUCACCGCGUCCCUUC
rnacentral:rRNA from 2 species